GCCUAUGGCCAUGCCACCCCAAACAAGCCCAAUCCCUUCUGAUCUCGGAAUCUAAGCAGUGUCGGACCUGGUAGUACUUGGAUGAGAGACCACCUAGGAAGACCAGGUGCUGUAAGCA
rnacentral:rRNA from 1 species